rnacentral:lncRNA from 1 species
AUGUUCCUCUGUGUCGAGUUUCUUCGCUACUUUUUUACUUUUCCUGAACACUUCCGGGAUGUACAAGUGGCUCAAACUCGCUCAUUUUGAGGCAGGAACUGGUGGACGUACAACAACUUUAACUAUGAGCAGGUUCCUUGUAAAGAUUAACCCAGGGAAGGAUCGAAAGUGGAGAAGACCAGAUCAAGAAAGACUACAUCAAGAUCUGCGGUC